rnacentral:rRNA from 1 species
UCGAGAAUCUUCGGCAAUGGGCGAAAGCCUGACCGAGCGAUGCCGCGUGCGGGAUGAAGGCCCUCGGGUUGUAAACCGCUGUCGUAGAGGAGAAAGGUCUCGUGAAGAGCGAGAUUUGAUCUAUUCUAGGAGGAAGUCGGGGCUAAGUUCGUGCCAGCAGCCGCGGUAACACGAACCCGACGAACGUUAUUCGGAAUUAUUGGGCUUAAAGGGUGCGUAGGCGGUGCGGUAAGUGCGGUGUGAAAGCCCUCGGCUCAACCGAGGAAUUGCGCUGCAUACUGCCGUGCUGGAGGGAGACAGGGGUAAGCGGAACUGAUGGUGGAGCGGUGAAAUGCGUUGAUAUCAUCAGGAACACCGGUGGCGAAAGCGGCUUACUGGGUCUUCUCUGACGCUGAGGCACGAAAGCUAGGGUAGCGAACGGGAUUAGAUACCCGGUAGUCCUAGCCGUAAACGAUGAGCACUUGAUUGAGGGCCCCCCCAUACGGCUCUCGAUCGCA